GUCUACGGCCAUAUCACUCUGAAGGCGCCCGAUCUCGUCUGAUCUCAGAAACUAAGCUAGGUCUGGUUAGUACUUGGAUGGGAAGAUUCAUAGAAAUCCAUAUAUAAGUACACA
rnacentral:rRNA from 1 species